GAGAGAGAGAGAGAGAGAGAGAGAUGCCGUAGAAACGAGAGAAAGCAGAGACUCGGCGAACGAUGGGAUAACCCCGUGAGUGGUCAAAGGCGUCGGAGCGAGACGGCUGGCGGUCGCGACGAGGGGGAUGAAAUAGCUCACGGGAGCUAAAGGUGUCGUAAUGAAGCUCUGCGAGGAUGAAGGAUAAAGUGAGAUGGCGAAUAAAUGGAAGGGGUGGCAGGGAGAACGACAAGGACAGAGUAUAGAUCAUCGGUAGGAAAAAGACGGAGAAUCAGUCUCCGGGGAAGGAAAGGGGAGAGAAAGAGAGAGAUAGAAAAAGAAAAAGAUGUAGGACGACGCCGUGAGAGAAAAAAGGAAAGGACGCCGAGGGUUGGAAGGAAAAUAGAGAAGGAUUGUCACGCUCGCCAUUCUGGUGGGGAUGAAGGUGGUGGGGUGACGUAGAGCAGUGCGAAAUAGGGGGGAGAGAGAGAGAAAGAGAGAGAGCAAAAGGUGAGAACGAAGAUAGAACGGAGGUAGCGAGGAGGGGUUGAAACGCGUAGGGACACAGAGCCAUAAGAGGGUUGAUGGCGGCCGGGGUUGGCCCCAGUAGCACAGUCGCGCGCCAAACUCCCGUAAGAAAGCACGUAACCGGUGGUUCGAACGCUCUCUCGCGCAACCCGCACCUCAUGUCGACGGACGGAUUUCUUUUUUUUUUUUUCAACGACGACGGGUUCGAAGGUUCAUGCCGCUAACCCGCCACCUCCAUCACUGCGCACCUUCGCGCCCACAUCCGAGGAAGUUGAUACUACCUGUGACUAUCGUUGGGGCCGGUGACUCAGGACACAACCGGGUUUUUUUUUCUUCUGAAAAGACUAAAGUCUCAUCGUGGGACGCUCGAGACGAUCGAAGUGGAAGGAUGGAUUUAACAGGCGGGUACAAGGCACAGCGAUUAUCCACAAGUAGUCAAUGGCCGACUUUACACCGGCACGGCGUAGUUCGUACCAGGCGGGGUUUAAUAUCGCCGAGCUGGCUCGCUUGCGGCGAUGUUGUCACUUCUGCAGGCUUCUACCCGGCUGGCAAGUAUCUUAAUCUUUAAUUAUCGCCCCUCACCGUUCUUAAUUACGCCGUAAUUGUAGUUAGAUAGCGUAUCAGUGUCCUGCGGAAAAAGUUUGACGGCGGACGCCCGUCGAUGAUGUCGGCGUGAACGACGUCAAUUCCAAGACGUCCAAUUAUCAGGGACUGAUUAUCGGGCCGGUGAAUAUAUAGGAAAGAGCUAAGGAGGUGAAAGAGGGAGUAGACGAUACGGAUAGAAAGAGAAAUGAGAAUGAACGAGCCUCGCCCUCUUCCUGCAGUGAAUCUCGCGCAAGUAAUGGGUACCUGAAAUAUCGAGCAAUUCCGAUAGACAACGGUUGUCCCUGGUGUGAACGUAAUUACAACCAAGACAAGAAGGGUACAUGGUGACAGCUUACAUGUAAAUUGCUGCUUAGAGCGUCGAUCGUGCCCAACUUUCUAUCUUGCCGGCUAGAUUAGAAAAAGUAAGGAGCCUCUUACGCGCUUGACUGGUCACGAGUCACCGUGAAGAAAAGGGGAUUGAAGGGGAAGAAGAGAGGCUGGAGAUGGUUCGCAGGCGUAAAAGAGGAUGCAACGAGAGGCCGAGCUUCGAGGUAAAUAAGGCGAACAAAGAAAGGGAGAGCGACAAAGAGAGGAGGGUACAUAGAGCGAACGAGAAUGGAGGACGGCUCGAAGCACGCUAAUUCGUUGCCGGGCCGAUAAUCAAGCGGAAUAACGAUCGAUCUCGCAGCCACUCCACCUAAUCUUGCGCGUCUGUCGAAAUAAGGAGGGAUAGAGCAACGAGAGGGCAACGAGCGGCCUUUCUGCGCACUAACGUUCGUAAUUAGUACCCUGUCGUCCGCACGGAGCGUGAAAUAACACGCGUAAAAUAUAAUCGCGCCCUCAUCGAAUACGUAAAACGGAUACAGAGUAGUAAUCCUGAUUCUUGCAGCGUUUCUUAAUAAUUAAACGUGAAUUAUAUUCAUGAAUUAUAUAUUAGAUGAGCGACAGAUCUAAAUCUAAAGAUAAACUUUUAUAAAGUAAAAAUCUUAUAUGUCGCGUUUGAGGAGGAACGUCACUUGACGAUUUUGCAAACAUUUCUUUAACUGAAUACCGACUACGGAGGAGCUGGCGAGACUCCAAGCUGAUACGCAUGGGUGAAUACAUAACGUGGCGGAAGAGACGCGUGUUAUUGAUGUGAACAUUCGAAUAAAUCACAGCAUUUAAAAACAGAGUGUUCACUUCUUUAUCGGGUCUAUCACAUUUCUACAAAAUUUCUACAAAAGUUCAGCGAAUGUGAAAAAUCCUUUUUGUGCUAAAAAAAUAGAAUAAAUAGUUUAUUCUAGCGUGAAUAUAUUUGAAUGUAGUAUAUGUUCGAGUGUUAGAUUAUAUAAAUAAAAAAACAAAAAAUUGCGCAACAUAUCAAUUUUUUCGUCUAACGUCAAGUGUGAAAUUUCAGUGAUUCACAGAAAAUAAAUUUAAAAAUGCCGAUAAAAACACAACGUACUCGAAAACAAUCUCGAUACACGUAUCUCAAAGGUAUCUCUGAUAAAAUAUCUUUGAAACUUUUAUGUUUAAUAAAAGACAUUGUUCCAAAGA